CCUACGGGAGGCAGCAGUGGGGAAUAUUGGGCAAUGGGCGCAAGCCUGACCCAGCAACGCCGCGUGAAGGAAGAAGGCUUUCGGGUUGUAAACUUCUUUUGUCAGGGAAGAGUAGAAGACGGUACCUGACGAAUAAGCCACGGCUAACUACGUGCCAGCAGCCGCGGUAAUAAGUAGGUGGCAAGCGUUGUCCGGAUUUACUGGGUGUAAAGGGCGUGUAGCCGGGUUGACAAGUCAGAUUUGAAAUCCUGCGGCGUAACCGCAGAACUGCAUUUGAAACUGUUGAUCUUGAGUACUGGAGAGGCAGAUGGAAGUCCUAGUGUAGCGGUGAAAUGCGUAGAUAUUAGGAGGAACACCAGUGGCGAAGGCGGUCUGCUGGACAGCAACUGACGGUGAGGCGCGAAAGCGUGGGGAGCAAACAGGAUUAGAUACCCCAGUAGUC
rnacentral:rRNA from 1 species